GCACUGGUAGUUCAGUGGCUGAAUGACCCCCUUCCAUGUGGGAGACUCGGGUUCAACUCCCAGCCAGAGCA
rnacentral:tRNA from 1 species